rnacentral:rRNA from 1 species
GAUCAUGGCUCAGAUUGAACGCUGGCGGCAUGCUUUACACAUGCAAGUCGAACGGCAGCACAGGGAGCUUGCUCCCGGGUGGCGAGUGGCGCACGGGUGAGUAAUACAUCGGAACGUGUCCUGUUGUGGGGGAUAACUGCUCGAAAGGGUGGCUAAUACCGCAUGAGACCUGAGGGUGAAAGCGGGGGAUCGCAAGACCUCGCGCAAUUGGAGCGGCCGAUGCCCGAUUAGCUAGUUGGUGGGGUAAAGGCUCACCAAGGCGACGAUCGGUAGCUGGUCUGAGAGGACGACCAGCCACACUGGGACUGAGACACGGCCCAGACUCCUACGGGAGGCAGCAGUGGGGAAUAUUGCACAAUGGGGGAAACCCUGAUGCAGCAACGCCGCGUGAAGGAUGACGGUUUUCGGAUUGUAAACUUCUUUUCUUAGUGACGAAGACAGUGACGGUAGCUAAGGAAUAAGCAUCGGCUAACUACGUG